rnacentral:tRNA from 1 species
GUGCAGGUGGCUCAGUGGUAGAGCGCCUGCCUCACAUGUAUGAAGCCCUGGGUUCGAUUCCUCAGCACC